UGAAUGUGAGAAAUUGCACCUAAAGAUGAUAUUACACUAAAACAUGUAGAAGAAUAGAGGGUUGGAAAGGAAAGCACUUGGAAAUCAAGUGGGAGAAUUAACAUUGCCCAUGUAGCCUUUCUGUGGUUUGCUUAUGGACACAGGUUAUUGAGGGCUGUGAUGUGUGCUCACAGCCAGUGCUCUGCAUGGGACCUCCUUUGCUCAGAUCAGAUGGAGAAUGCUCAAGGAGCCAAUUGAGGCUGCGGGAGGAAAAGGACUGGAAACAUCUCCUGCACCUGCUGGGGAAACUGGGAAGUGCAAAGCAGGAUGGCCCUGCUCCAACCUCUGCUGGCCACAGUGGGCUUUAAGCCACACGAAACAGCACACAUGGGGAGUGAGGUGGGUUUGUGGAACCCAUGAGUCAAACCAGCAUAUACCAAAAGACUGAUUUUACUUUAAGCUUUAACCUGAAUCGGAAAGAAAAGAUCUUGACUUCCUAUGUCGCUUUUUCAAUUGCUGCUUUCUCAAAAGCCUGUUUGAGACUCUACAUUGUCUACACUCCUGAAUGAAGUCCUUGCCUUUCCAACACCAGCGUGUCUUUUAAACCAAUAGGAGGUAACGUUCUUAUUUUAAGGACAGGAAAACAGAGGGAGACAUGAAAGCUGACUAAAAACCUCGUUAAACAGACAGAUUGGAGCUCGCAGUUCCUUUUUUAUCUUUGUUUCUUUGGACCCAAAGACUGAAUGUAAGCACUGCCAUUUUUAAUUCAAAGUUUGUACAACCCAAAGAAUUAACAGCUAAAAUUAACAGCUGAAAUACUGAAGAUCACCUGGUGACAUUACUGGCAAUUUUAUUUUUAUAACAAUCACAACAUAUUUCUGAAAAAUUGGUGUUGUACUACAGCAUCCAAUCUCUUUCAAAGAACUGAACAAACUCAGAACAGAAAUACAUAAAGGAUUCUCAUGAAAAAUGUACUUCUGCAUUUCAGCUGGACACGAAAGGUGAAAAGUAGGUGGUUAAAAACCACAUAGCACUGUUGCAGUUGCCCACAGGUAUCCCAGCUGACCUUGAGCUCUGAGUGGUCAAGGUGUCCCAUAACAGCUGAAUCACAUCUGCCUACAUGAGGAGAUAUUUCUAGGAGGCCCUAAAAUGUAGUAGAUGUGUAAGUCUCAGUGUUUGGAUCACUCUCUAAUUAUUUCAGUAGGUUAAGAUUCACAGGAUCAAAUGUAAUUUGCC
ensembl:lncRNA